rnacentral:rRNA from 1 species
AUUGAACGCUGGCGGCAGGCCUAACACAUGCAAGUCGAACGGUAACAGGAAGAAGCUUGCUUCUUUGCUGACGAGUGGCGGACGGGUGAGUAAUGUCUGGGAAACUGCCUGAUGGAGGGGGAUAACUACUGGAAACGGUAGCUAAUACCGCAUAACGUCGCAAGACCAAAGAGGGGGACCUUCGGGCCUCUUGCCAUCGGAUGUGCCCAGAUGGGAUUAGCUAGUAGGUGGGGUAACUGCUCACCUAGGCGACGAUCCCUAGCUGGUCUGAGAGGAUGACUAGCCACACUGGAACUGAGACACGGUCCAGACUCCUACGGGAGGCAGCAGUGGGGAAUAUUGCACAAUGGGCGCAAGCCUGAUGCAGCCAUGCCGCGUGUAUGAAGAAGGCCUUCGGGUUGUAAAGUACUUUCAGCGGGGAGGAAGGGAGUAAAGUUAAUACCUUUGCUCAUUGACGUUACCCGCAGAAGAAGCACCGGCUAACUCCGUG